rnacentral:rRNA from 1 species
AGAGCGAACGCUGGCGGCAGGCCUAACACAUGCAAGUCGAGCGCCCCGCAAGGGGAGCGGCAGACGGGAGAGUAACACGUGGGAACGUACCCUUCAGUUCGGAACAACCCAGGGAAACUUGGGCUAAUACCGAAUACGUCCGUAAGGAGAAAGAUUUAUCGCUGAAGGAUCGGCCCGCGUCUGAUUAGCUUGUUGGUGAGGUAAUGGCUCACCAAGGCUACGAUCAGUAGCUGGUCUGAGAGGAUGAUCAGCCUCACUGGGACUGAGACACGGCCCAGACUCCUACGGGAGGCAGCAGUGGGGAAUAUUGGACAAUGGGCGCAAGCCUGAUCCAGCCAUGCCGCGUGGGUGAUGAAGGCCCUAGGGUUGUAAAGCCCUUUCGGCGGGAAGAUAAUAACGGUACCCGCAGAAGAAGCCCGGCUAACUUCGCGCCAGCAGCCGC